GUUCCCAUCGUCUAGUGGCCUAGGACACCUCCCUUUCACGGAGGAUACAGGGGUUCGAAUCCCCUUGGGAACGCCA
rnacentral:tRNA from 4 species